AGCGAACGCUGGCGGCAGGCCUAACACAUGCAAGUCGAACGAACCUUUCGGGGUUAGUGGCGGACGGGUGAGUAACACGUGGGAACGUGCCUUUAGGUUCGGAAUAACUCAGGGAAACUUGUGCUAAUACCGAAUGUGCCCUUCGGGGGAAAGAUUUAUCGCCUUUAGAGCGGCCCGCGUCUGAUUAGCUAGUUGGUUGAGGUAAUGGCUCACCAAGGCGACGAUCAGUAGCUGGUCUGAGAGGAUGAUCAGCCACAUUGGGACUGAGACACGGCCCAAACUCCUACGGGAGGCAGCAGUGGGGAAUCUUACGCAAUGGGCGAGAGCCUGACGCAGCCAUGCCGCGUGAAUGAUGAAGGUCUUAGGAUUGUAAAAUUCUUUCACCGGGGACGAUAAUGACGGUACCCGGAGAAGAAGCCCCGGCUAACUUCGUG
rnacentral:rRNA from 1 species